GAUGAACGCUGGCGGCGUGCUUAACACAUGCAAGUCGAACGGGAAUUAUUUUAUUGCAACUUCGGUCGAUUUAAUUUAAUUCUAGUGGCGGACGGGUGAGUAACGCGUGGGUAACCUGCCUUAUACAGGGGGAUAACAGUCAGAAAUGGCUGCUAAUACCGCAUAAGCGCACAGAGCUGCAUGGCUCAGUGUGAAAAACUCCGGUGGUAUAAGAUGGACCCGCGUUGGAUUAGCUGGUUGGUGGGGUAACGGCCCACCAAGGCGACGAUCCAUAGCCGGCCUGAGAGGGUGAACGGCCACAUUGGGACUGAGACACGGCCCAGACUCCUACGGGAGGCAGCAGUGGGGAAUAUUGCACAAUGGGGGAAACCCUGAUGCAGCGACGCCGCGUGAAGGAAGAAGUAUCUCGGUAUGUAAACUUCUAUCAGCAGGGAAGAUAGUGACGGUACCUGACGAAGAAGCCCCGGCUAACUACGUG
rnacentral:rRNA from 1 species